UACGUAGGAGGCAAGCGUUGUCCGGAAUCACUGGGUGUAAAGGGUGCGCAGGCGGGAAGGUAAGUCAAUGGUGAAAUCUCACAGCUUAACUGUGAAACUGCCAUUGAUACUGCUUUUCUUGAGUUUGGGAGAGGGUGGUGGAAUUCUUGGUGUAGCGGUGAAAUGCGUAGAUAUCAAGAAGAACACCAGUGGCGAAGGCGGCCACCUGGCCCAUAACUGACGCUCAUGCACGAAAGCGUGGGGAUCAAACAGG
rnacentral:rRNA from 1 species